rnacentral:tRNA from 1 species
GACCGCGUAGCUCAGUUGGAAGAGCAUUGGGCUGGUAUUCCAAAGGACGUAGGUUCAAAUCCCGCCGUGGCCA